rnacentral:rRNA from 1 species
UACGUAGGGGGGCAAGCGUUGUCCGGAAUCAUUGGGCGUAAAGAGCGCGUAGGCGGCCCAGUAAGUCCGCUCUGAAAGUCAGGGGCUCAACCCCUGAAUGCGGGUGGAUACUGCUGGGCUAGAGUCCGGAAGAGGCGAGUGGAAUUCCUGGUGUAGCGGUGAAAUGCGUAGAUAUCAGGAGGAACACCGAUUGCGAAGGCAGCUCGCUGGGACGUAACUGACGCUGAGACGCGAAAGCGUGGGGAGCAAACAGG